rnacentral:misc_RNA from 1 species
GCCCGAGGAAGAGGAUUGUCAUUUUGUUGCUUAAUACUGUAGGUACUCAUCAUAGUAUGUUCUAAUUAAGGUAAUAGAACUGGACAAUCCAUCCUUUGCAUCAGGUAAAGAAAGAAUUCCAUCUCCACCAAUCUAGACCUUAUGAACCAUAGGUCGUCCAGAAUUAGAAGUCUGAUAAUCGUGUGGUAGUCAUCAUGCAACGACCAACAACUAUCCAUUGUGGGAUCACCUUUAUCCCUUCCCCUUUUCAUUGUCCUCCUUGUCCCUACUGAGUUACAUU